UACCACGUAGCUCAGUUGGCAGAGCAUUGGGCUAGUAUUCCAAAGGUCGUAGGUUCGAUUCCCACCGUGGUCA